rnacentral:rRNA from 1 species
AUUGAACGCUGGCGGCAGGCCUAACACAUGCAAGUCGAACGAGUGGCGGAGGGGUGAGUAAUGUCUGGGAACCUGCCUGAUGGAGGGGGAUAACUACUGGAAACGGUAGCUAAUACCGCAUACCAUCGGAUGUGCCCAGAUGGGAUUAGCUAGUAGGUGGGGUAAAGGCUCACCUAGGCGACGAUCCCUAGCUGGUCUGUGAGGAUGACCAGCCACACUGGAACGGAGACACGGUCAAGACGCCUACGGGAGGCAGCAGUGGGGAAUAUUGCACAAGGGGGGCAAGCCUGAGGCAGCCAGGCCGCGUGUAUGAAGAAGGCCUUCGGGUUGUAAACUACUUUAAGCGGGGAGGCGGUACCCGCAGAAGAAGCACCGGCUAACUCCGUGCCAGCAGCCGCGGUAAUAC